UACGUAGGGUGCGAGCGUUAAUCGGAAUUACUGGGCGUAAAGCGUGCGCGGGCGGCGCGUUAAGACAGGUGUGAAAGCCCCGAGCUUAACUUGGGAAUUGCGCUUGUGACUGGCGUGCUGGAGUGUGGCAGAGGGAGGUGGAAUUCCACGUGUAGCAGUGAAAUGCGUAGAGAUGUGGAGGAACACCGAUGGCGAAGGCAGCCUCCUGGGCCAGCACUGACGCUGAGGAGCGAAAGCCAGGGGAGCAAACGGG
rnacentral:rRNA from 1 species